UGCCCAAGAUGAUAUAUCUCAAGGCUUGUUUCUCUAAACAUUCGCAGUGGCCGCCUAAGUGCUUUCGCCUUCGCCAGGCUGGAGAGCAUAUGCUGCUUCUAUCCUUCCUUGGAUGUCUGAGGCU
rnacentral:snoRNA from 1 species